rnacentral:piRNA from 1 species
UCAGAGAUCGAUGCUGACUUCACUAGAGC